rnacentral:misc_RNA from 1 species
CUUUCUUCUUCCUUUUCUCCUAAUCCAGAGUAUAGUUACGUAUUUUUCUCCUAAAACCAAGAAGAAGAAGAAGAAGAAAAAUACCCUUAGAUCUAAACUUGUUAAUUUCCUCACUAAUGGCUUCUUUAACCCUCUCUAAAUCCUACAGAGCUCGGGCUUAUCACAUUAUUCCGAGACUUUCACUCCCCUAUUUCCUCAGUCCCCUCCAUUUCUGCACUUUAACCCAAGAUACAAUCUCCUCUGUCACAGAAAUCCCGCCACCUAUUCCAC